rnacentral:rRNA from 1 species
ACUCAAAGGAAUUGACGGGGGCCCGCACAAGCAGCGGAGCAUGUGGUUUAAUUCGAAGCAACGCGAAGAACCUUACCAGGUCUUGACAUCCAGGUAAAACCGCAGAGAUGCGGAGUGCGCUUGCGCAAUCUGAGACAGGUGGUGCAUGGUUGUCGUCAGCUCGUGUCGUGAGAUGUUGGGUUAAGUCCCGCAACGAGCGCAACCCUUGUGAUCAGUUACUAACGGGAAAGCCGAGGACUCUGAUAAGACUGCCGGGGACAACUCGGAGGAAGGUGGGGACGACGUCAAAUCAUCAUGCCCCUUAUGACCUGGGCUACACACGUGCUACAAUGGCCACUACAGAGAGAGGCGAAUUCGAGAGGAAGAGCGGAUCUUAAGAAAAGUGGUCCCAGUUCGGAUUGUGGGCUGCAACCCGCCCACAUGAAGCCGGAGUUGCUAGUAAUCGCGGAUCAGCAUGCCGCGGUGAAUACGUUCCCGGGCCUUGUACACACCGCCCGU